rnacentral:rRNA from 1 species
UUAGAGUUUGAUCCUGGCUCAGGACGAACGCUGGCGGCGUGCCUAACACAUGCAAGUCGAACGAGGCCUUCGGGCUUAGUGGCGGACGGGUGAGUAACGCGUGAACAAUCUGCCCUGUACAGAGGAAUAGCCUCGGGAAACCGGGAAUAAAACCUCAUAACACUUUAAAGCCGCAUGGCAAUGAAGUCAAAUCGAAUAAGAGGUACGGGAUGAGUUCGCGUCUGAUUAGCUAGUUGGUGAGGUAACAGCUCACCAAGGCGACGAUCAGUAGCCGGCCUGAGAGGGUGAACGGCCACACUGGAACUGAGACACGGUCCAGACUCCUACGGGAGGCAGCAGUGGGGAAUAUUGCACAAUGGAGGGAACUCUGAUGCAGCGACGCCGCGUGAGUGAAGAAGGUCUUCGGAUCGUAAAACUCUGUCCUUGGUGAAGAUAAUGACGGUAGCCAAGGAGGAAGCCCCGGCUAACUACGUGCCAGCAGCCGCGGUAAUACGUAGGGGGCUAGCGUUGUCCGGAUUUACUGGGCGUAAAGGGUGAGUAGGCGGUUAUGUAUGUCAGAUGUAAAAGGCGCGGGCUUAACUUGCGUUAGCAUUUGAAACUGCAUAACUUGAGUGCAGGAGAGGUAAGCGGAAUUCCUAGUGUAGCGGUGAAAUGCGUAGAUAUUAGGAGGAACACCGGUGGCGAAGGCGGCUUACUGGACUGCAACUGACGCUGAGUCACGAAAGCGUGGGUAGCAAACAGGAUUAGAUACCCUGGUAGUCCACGCUGUAAACGAUGAGUGCUAGGGUGUGGGGAGCGAUACUCAGUGCCGCAGUAAACACAAUAAGCACUCCGCCUGGGGAGUACGUACGCAAGUAUGAAACUCAAAGGAAUUGACGGGGACCCGCACAAGCAGCGGAGCAUGUGGUUUAAUUCGAAGCAACGCGAAGAACCUUACCAAGGCUUGACAUCCCCUUGCCAGAUGCAGAGAUGUGUCCUCCCCUUCGGGGGCAAGGGAGACAGGUGGUGCAUGGUUGUCGUCAGCUCGUGUCGUGAGAUGUUGGGUUAAGUCCCGCAACGAGCGCAACCCUUAUCCUUAGUUGCCAGCACUUAAGGUGGGCACUCUAAGGAGACUGCCGGUGAUAAACCGGAGGAAGGUGGGGAUGACGUCAAAUCAUCAUGCCCCUUAUGUCUUGGGCUACACACGUGCUACAAUGGUCGGUACAACGGGCAGCGAAGAAGCGAUUUGGAGCGAAUCCCAAUAAACCGAUCCCAGUUCGGAUUGCAGGCUGCAACUCGCCUGCAUGAAGUCGGAGUUGCUAGUAAUCGCGAAUCAGAACGUCGCGGUGAAUGCGUUCCCGGGUCUUGUACUCACCGCCCGUCA